ACGGAGGGGGCUAGCGUUGUCCGGAAUUACUGGGCGUAAAGCGCGUGUAGGCGGCAUAGCAAGUCGGGUGUGAAAGCCCUCAGCUCAACUGAGGAAGUGCGCCCGAAACUGCUGUGCUUGAGUGCCGGAGAGGAUGGCGGAAUUCCCCAAGUAGAGGUGAAAUUCGUAGAUAUGGGGAGGAACACCGGUGGCGAAGGCGGUCAUCUGGACGGUAACUGACGCUGAGACGCGAAAGCGUGGGUAGCAAACAGGA
rnacentral:rRNA from 1 species